AAUGAACGUUGGCGGCGUGGAUUAGGCAUGCAAGUCGAGCGAGAACCCAGCAAUGGGGGACAGCGGCGAAAGGGACAGUAAUGUGUAGAUUAUCUGCCCUCGGGUCCGGGAUAGCUGCGGGAAACUGCAGGUAAUACCGGAUAACAUCUCCGGAUCAAAGGUGUGAUUCCGCCCGAGGAUGAGUCUGCAUCCUAUUAGCUUGUUGGUGGGGUAAUGGCCUACCAAGGCUUUGAUGGGUAGCGGGUGUGAGAGCACGACCCGCGUCAUUGGGACUGAGACACUGCCCAGACACCUACGGGUGGCUGCAGUCGAGAAUCUUCGGCAAUGGGCGCAAGCCCUGACCGAGCGACGCCGCGUGUGGGGAUGAAGGCCUGGUGUAACACUGUCAGAGGGGAUGAAAUGCAGGUGGGUUCUCCACUUGUUUGACAUAGCCUCAGAGGAAGGACGGGCUAAGUUCGUGCCAGCAGCCGCGGUAA
rnacentral:rRNA from 1 species